AUUGAACGCUGGCGGCAUGCCUUACACAUGCAAGUCGAACGGUAACGCGGGGCAACCUGGCGACGAGUGGCGAACGGGUGAGUAAUGCAUCGGAACGUGCCCAGUAGUGGGGGAUAGCCCGGCGAAAGCCGGAUUAAUACCGCAUACGACCUACGGGUGAAAGGGGGGGAUCGCAAGACCUCUCGCUAUUGGAGCGGCCGAUGUCAGAUUAGGUAGUUGGUGGGGUAAAGGCCUACCAAGCCUACGAUCUGUAGCUGGUCUGAGAGGACGACCAGCCACACUGGGACUGAGACACGGCCCAGACUCCUACGGGAGGCAGCAGUGGGGAAUUUUGGACAAUGGGCGCAAGCCUGAUCCAGCCAUGCCGCGUGCGGGAAG
rnacentral:rRNA from 1 species